AAUUUUGGACAAUGGGGGCAACCCUGAUCCAGCCAUCCCGCGUGUGCGAUGAAGGCCUCCGGGUUGUAAAUCACUUUUUGCAGGGAAGAACAGUCUCUGGCUAAUACCUGGAGCUGCUGACGGUACCUGCAGAAUCAGCACCGGCUCACUACGGUCCAGCAGCCCCGGUAAUACGUAGGGUGCAAGCUUCAAUCGGAAUUACCGGGCGUAAAGCGUGCGCAGGCGGUUCGGCAAGAAGGAUGUGAAAUCCCAGGGCUUAACCUUGGAACUGCAUUCUUAACUGCCGGGCUAGAGUAUGUCAGAGGGGGGUAGAAUUCCGCGUGUAGCAGUGGAAUGCGUAGAGAUGCGGAGGAAUACCGAUGGCGAAGGCAGCCCCCUGGGAUAAUACUGACGCUCAUGCACGAAAGCGUGGGGAGCAAAC
rnacentral:rRNA from 1 species